UACGGAGGGGGCGAGCGUUAUUCGGAAUUAUUGGGCGUAAAGGGCGCGUAGGCGGCCUUGUAAGUCAAAGGUGAAAUCCCUCGGCUCAACUGAGGAACUGCCUUUGAAACUGCAAGGCUUGAGGCCGGGAGGGGGUAGCGGAAUUCCCAAUGUAGCGGUGAAAUGCGUAGAUAUUGGGAGGAACACCAGUGGCGAAGGCGACUUACUGGACACAUAUUGACGCUGAGGUGCGAAAGCGUGGGGAGCGAACAGG
rnacentral:rRNA from 1 species